UAAACCAUAAUUGUAAGUUUAUGAUACAUCGUUUUCUUGCCUUCAUUUGUCACAAUAUAUGCGGGCAGCGGCUGGCUGAAAGGCGCAGUCCAGCGGGGUUCGUAUGACAGCUGCAGUUCGAGAUUCCUUUUGUUGGAUGCAAGAUCGGGGGUUGGACUUCUAAUGAGCAGCUUGCUUGUGGGCGCCCUGGCGGCUCCCCAGCCCAGUAGCCCG